rnacentral:rRNA from 1 species
UACGAACCGUGCGAACGUUAUUCGGAAUCACUGGGCUUAAAGGGCGCGUAGGCGGGCAACCAAGUCCGGGGUGAAAUCCUCCAGCUCAACUGGAGAAGUGCCUCGGAUACUGGCUGCCUCGAGGAGGGUAGGGGCAUCUGGAACUAGCGGUGGAGCGGUGAAAUGCGUUGAUAUCGCUAGGAACUCCGGUGGCGAAGGCGAGGUGCUGGACCCUUUCUGACGCUGAGGCGCGAAAGCCAGGGGAGCGAACGGG